CUCUAGUGGUGUGGGGGCUGUGCUUUGGCAAAGUGGGUGGGGUUAUAUCCUGCCUGUUUGGCCCUGUCCGGGGGUAUCAUCGGAUGGGGCCACAGUGUCUUCUGAUCCCUCCUGUCUCAGCCUCCAGUAUUUAUGCUGCAGUAGUUUAUGUGUCGGGGGGCUAGGGACCUGAGCCCUAGGACCAUGCCUCAGGACUACCUGGUAUGAUGACUCCUUGCUGUCCCCAGUCCACCUGGCCGUGCUGCUGCUCCAGUUUCAACUGUUCUGCCUGCGGCUAUGGAACCCUGACCUGUUAACCGGACGUGCUUGUUGCACCCUCGACAACUACUAUGAUUAUUAUUAUUUGACCAUGCUGGUCAUUUAUGAACAUUUUAACAUUUUGACCAUGUUCUGUUAUAAUAUCCACCCUGCACAGCCAGAAGAGGACUGGCCACCCCUCAUAGCCUGGUUCCUCUCUAGGUUUCUCCCUAGAAAGGCCAAAAACCUUGGAAGAAACCUAGAGAGGAACCAGGCUAUGAG
rnacentral:lncRNA from 1 species